ensembl:snRNA U2 U2 spliceosomal RNA
AUCACUUCUCGGCCUUUUAGCUAAGAUCAAAGUGUAGUACCUGUUCUUAUCUUAAUUUAAUAUCAUUAUUAUAUAAUAUUUGGAAAUGAAAAUAAUUGUAAAAGGGCAUUUUUA